rnacentral:lncRNA from 1 species
GUGAUUACGGAAAAUAUGUCACGAGUGAAAUUAAUGUUUUAAGUUCCGAGCUUUAGCGAGGAACUUAAAAGAUUAAUUUCACGAGUGACAUAUUUUCCGUAAUCACUCGUACCUCGUGGGUUAUUCUAUUUAUUACCCAUAUUCAUAUUAAAGACAUGUUUCAAGAAAAAAACAAUGAACUGUCGCCGAUCAAGAAUCAGCUGUUUUGUAUCAAUCCGCGUGUGAAAAAACACUGUCCACUCACUCCAGCCGCAUUACUCAAUCAACAACGUCUUGCUACGCGUAAAAAUAUAGUUCUGUUAACAAAACUUGAAAGAUCACAUUAUUGCAGUUAUAUUUCUGUCUGAGUUAUACAGCGUACACUAUCUACCAUUGAUAAAAGAAGACAAUUUUCAAAAAAGGUUCAACAGGCUUUUUAAUCAAGGCUUGUUUUGACAAGACCUCUCAUUGACAAGACAAUAGCCGUCGUGCAUCACCAUGGACAUGAAUUUCACAUUGAGAAGAGGAAACACGGAAAACCUGUCAAUUUUUUCAUGUGUCAUUCAGUAAAAAUGCAAAAACCUGUAUCAACAACAUAGAAGGAAUGUACAGAAGUCAUGUUUGAUUGAGAAAAGUUACGACAACUAGGUAAACUUUGAAAAAUACGAUUGCUGUCAGUGUCGGAAAGAAUGACCCGACUUGACCAAGAUAUGGGACAGCCGAAACCAGGAAUGACAAGAGAACCGGCGUUACAGUUUAAUCCGGACAACAAGUUUAAUGAACAUCGUUUGUGAUUUGAGACAAGUGUGACUGAUGGGAAACAUGUGCAUGUGGGAUUUUAGGAGGACUUGUCUGAGUCAAACGCGCUUGUGGAGUGGACACAGUCAGAUAACGGGAGUUUGUUGAUAUUUUGAUGUGAUUCAUAAUAUGGUCGAAUACCUGUUGAUAGACUAACAAGGUAUCUGGAGACUUGGUGACAAGCUGUCCGCAUUCACGGAGUUCAUUUAGUUCAAUGUCGGACACAGGAUCACCUCGCUGGGUUAUCGAUGUCAUCAUCGUUCACAAAGGCAAACCUGUCUAUACAAAGUCCGGUUUUGGGGAUUCGUGUGGUCGAAAGAUUCGCCAAACAGCAAGUCCUCUAACACAGACGCAAAUCCGGACUUGGUGGUGUUGAGUUUUAGCGCACUAGAAACAGUUUCUGGCAACAUCACAAUCUGAAACUUGGAACUUCAAUCUAGCCAUAUGCAGUUUUGACAACAAAGACAUUAAAUGUGUUCAGAGGUUGAAUUAUGCGAAUAACUCUUCCUGUCAGAUCUCCGUCUACUUUAACGAGGUCAUUUAGUUUGACAGGUGUCAAAUGGUCAGCCAUGUUUGUUUACAAACAAUGCAGACGUAGUUUUGUUUUUUGUAAUUACGCUUAUUGUAAACUAAAACUCUUGCGAAAUAAAUGCUUUAUUCAUUAUA